rnacentral:lncRNA from 1 species
AUGAUUGAAGAGUAUGAAUAAUAAGCUGGCUAUAAUUCAUCAAUAUAAUUGAGAACUAGCACGAACAAACUUUUGACUGAACAAGUUUUAAAUAUGAACAAACAUUUCUGGACCAACCGGUAAUGAAGGUGAUCAGCCUUUCAUACCUGACUUAUAUAUGCAAGAUGUACAGAGUACAAUUUUCAUGGCAAUCAGCAAUGAUUAACCAUAAGCUUGAAUAAA